AGUGAACUUCGUUUGAAGUAAAAAUCCUUGUAACCUGGGGUUCAGCUUACAAUAUUGCAACGGAAAGCAUGACGAUGA
rnacentral:sRNA from 1 species